GUGUCAGCAGCCGCGGUAAUACGUAGGGUGCGAGCGUUAAUCGGAAUUACUGGGCGUAAAGCGUGCGCAGGCGGUUCGCUAAGUCUGAUGUGAAAGCCCCGGGCUCAACCUGGGAACUGCAUUGGAAACUGGCGAGCUUGAGUGUGGCAGAGGGGGGUGGAAUUCCACGUGUAGCAGUGAAAUGCGUAGAGAUGUGGAGGAACACCGAUGGCGAAGGCAGCCCCCUGGGCUAACACUGACGCUCAGGCACGAAAGCGUGGGGAGCAAACAGGAUUAGAAACCCCCGUAGUCC
rnacentral:rRNA from 1 species